AAGAUUUUAUAACAAAUUUUUGUUUUAUGUCAGUAAAAAGAAAACGGGGAUAUAACUAUCUUUUCAUAUGUAACUUUGGUGUAAGUGUUGGUUUCUGAAAAACAGUGUGGCUGUUUAUUUUAUUGUAUUAACAGGAAGAAAAAUUAGUUGAUGGAACUACAGUUGUCGUAGAAUUGCCUUGCUGGUACUAAAAAGAUGCCGAUAACCAGAGGGGCACUGGUAACCAAUCGAUGUCGCUCAUCAGAGGUGUUCUGGACCUCUUAUGUCAACAUAGUAAUCAACUGUUCUCGACAAGCACUGUUCGAUUGGUCAAGAUAGAGAGGUUUUAGUGGAAUUCAGCCCUUGAUGGACAUGUCGUCUGUAUUUGCCCUGCCUGUCCUGUGUGGACAGAGAGCCGUCUUCCACACCUCGUGCACAUAUCAGAAUCCGCGAGGUAUUCGACGAAUUUAUUCAGGUUUCAAACGACAGGAAGACAGUGUUUUACAUUGUUGAAAGACAAAGAAAAAGAAUCGAUUCCAGAAUGUGCUGUUCUGUGUUUGUUGUUUUCGACAGUUGAGGGGAGAGUCCGGUGCAUGCCAGAUA
rnacentral:lncRNA from 1 species